UGUUAAAAUUUUUCCUUUGAAACUUUUAGACUUGAAAUUUGGGUGUCUCUGUGCAGUUUCCAUGAUUUCAAGAUCCCUGACCACUGCUUUAGUGAUUGAGCCUUCUCUCAGUCUCUGGGUAUCAAAGAUGGAUCAACUUCACUCUGUGAAAGAGAAAUAUCGAUAAAAGAAGUGUCCUAGGUCCCUCUUUCUCUUAGGGGAGACCUCCCCGGCUGUUGUAGUAACAAGGGUUUGUUUGGAUCUUGCAGGAAAAGCUAAGGAUGGUUUCCAAUGGUGCAACACACAGGAUUGAACAACAGGGAAAGGCGAUUAAUUCCUUUGCUUGUCAACGUCAAGCUCGUUUACAGUAAAUAUUGCAGGUGCACACAACCUAGAACGGGUAACAAAAAUUACAUCAAUGUAAUAUCUCAUGCACAUGCACGUUGCGACAGUACCACUUGAACUAAAAUGAAGGAUGAAUUAAUAGUGAAUAUCAACAUGAUUUCCUCUUCCCGAGUUGGCAAGAA